rnacentral:pre_miRNA from 1 species
AGAGUUUGUCGGCAUGGUGACUUAUAAUUGUUUAAGUAAUUCACCGGGUGUACGAAUUCUCA